rnacentral:rRNA from 1 species
CUACGGGCUGCUGCAGUGAGGAAUUUUGCGCAAUGGGGGGAACCCUGACGCAGCAACGCCGCGUGAGUGAAGAAGGCCUUUGGGUCGUAAAGCUCUGUCAACUGGGAAGAAAUUAGAGUUGUUUAACAGAUGAUUCUAUUGACGGUACCAGUGGAGGAAGCGCCGGCUAACUCCGUGCCAGCAGCCGCGGUAACACGGGGGGCGCAAGCGUUAUUCGGAAUUAUUGGGCGUAAAGGGCGCGCAGGCGGUCUUGUCGGUCAGGUGUGAAAGCCCGGGGCUCAACCCUGGAAGUGCACUUGAAACAGCAAGACUUGAGUACGGGAGAGGGAAGCGGAAUUCCUGGUGUAGAGGUGAAAUUCGUAGAUAUCAGGAGGAACACCGAUGGCGAAGGCAGCUUUCUGGACCGAUACUGACGCUGAGGCGCGAAGGCGUGGGUAGCGAACGGGAUUAGAUACCCGCGUAGUC